rnacentral:misc_RNA from 1 species
GGUUCUACCGCCGGUCUUAUCGGUCGCAUUAUAACGUGCGUCCCUUCCCGUUCUUUUUAUCUUCUCUAUUUUGGGACGUUUGAAAAACCUUCUCGAUCAUCGUUCAUUUAUUCUACUCACGCAGUGUGUGGAUCAUCUUGGCCGACGGAGAGAAAAAAAUGGAGGAUGAACGAUCCAAGUUGAUGGUGAAAUAAUUGCAGCUACUACAGUUUUAGUGCGACGGCCUUCUGUUUCAUUCGGAGCUCGCUAUCCAGUUUUUGCAGAGAAUCAUUAAAGGCCCGGUUUCAACCCAAUCACUGUGGACAGACACCAAGGGUCCAUCCAUCAUGCGGCGCAUCUUGUGAUGUCGGUCGACGUGUGUGGUUCGUGUAGAAGACAACACGAAAAAAGAGUGCUGCUGCGUCAAAGUAUAUAUGUCUAAAACCUACUGUGACCGCCAUAAAACUGAGGGGGGGAAAGACAGGAGACGACAGAGCGUGACGCCAAAUCGAUGGAAAAGGACCAGUGCACGGUGGAUUAUUAUUAUCAUUCGUGGUCGAAACGGUGGUCAACGACGACGAGAUCAGCUUCAAGAAUAGUGACCUCAGCCGAUAACAUUUCGACUAGUGCGGCUACGCAUCAACGCGGCUGCCGAUGCAACUGGAUUCGAAUGAGGCGAAGGAUCUUUGCUAAGUUAUGCCGGACGACGAUUGUAAUUGUCCUAACGCUAACGAUUCUAGUCAACCUCAUCUUUAUUCUGGAAUUCGGUUACAAGUCAAAACUCAGCUUUUCUGACGAACCUACCAGCAGAGCCAAUAUCAGCGAUGAUGGACAAUCAUACCAAUAUCUAACACUGGAAAUUGUUUCUAGUCAAUCGCGCGCAGCAGUCAGCGUAGAUGGAGCUAUGAUGAUUGACGAUAACGAAGUUGGUAAAGGAAGAGGUAUUCACGUACUAGUCUUGAAUCAGAGAACGGGUGCCGUAAUGGCUCGACAAAUCUUCGACACCUAUUCACCGCACGAAGACGAAGCGAUGAGCCUCUUUGUCAACUUAGUAUCAAAAGGGAGAAUUAUCGUCAUGACCAUCAAAGACGAAGGUUCAUUUCAUUUGAAGCAGCCGACCAGAGACCUCUUACAACGCUACGGAUCGAAGAAUUCGCAGAUAUUGGGUUGGCGGGAUACGUGGAUCUUCGUCUUUGAAAAAGGGGACAACCCACAGCUCAGGGGAGUUGGUGGCAGAUGUUGCGAGCAUUUGGGUAAAAGCUCCAAUUUCCUGUCGUGGGGACAGCCCCUUUCGGUGACCUGCAAAGUUCGCCUAUCGACUGACCAACAUGAAGAGGAGUGCCAAUGGCCUGACACGGAGGAAAAUCAACGCCGUCGGGAAUUCUGCAGCCGAGUCGAAGGCUACGGAAGCGUCUGUGAUUGUCACCAACCUACCCCCAUCACUUUUCAGCCGUCUCCGAUUCCAAAUAAUCAAAUUCGUAAUGUUCCUGUGGCUAUCAUCGCCAGCGACCGUCCUCGUUACUUGUACAGAAUGCUGAGAUCUCUAUUGAGAGUGGGUGGUGCCAAUAAAGAGAUGAUGACCGUGUUUAUUGACGGCUAUUACGAAGAGCCAAUGCAAGUGGUUCGCCUUUUCGGUUUGAAGGGGAUCCAGCACAAGCCACUGGGCAUCAAGAACGCCCGGAUUUCUCAACAUUACAAAGCUUCUCUAUCAACUCUCUUCAAACAGCAUCCGGAUUCACGUCACGCCAUCUUAGUGGAGGAAGAUCUGGAUGUCGCGCCCGAUUUCUUCCAUUAUUUUAGUCAACUGGUGCAUUUGCUGGACGAAGAUCCAACACUUUAUUGCGUGUCGGCAUGGAACGACCAUGGCUACCAGCACAGCGCAGUUAACGCGACGCUGCUCUACCGAGUCGAUACAAUGCCAGGGCUCGGAUGGAUGUUGACGAGGAAACUCUUCAAAGAAGAGCUGGAAACGUUAUGGCCGACUCAAGAUAAAAUGUGGGAUUGGGAUAUGUGGAUGAGGAAACCGAGCGUCCGAAGAGACAGGGAAUGUGUGAUUCCCGACGUGCCACGCACCUAUCACUUCGGUGCCAGCGGCUUGAACAUGAAUUCCUUUUUCCAGGAUACUUAUUUCCGUAAACGGGCACUCAAUAAUCAAGCGGACGUUCAACUGCACGAUAUUGAGAACAUGAAGGCUAUUAAUUACGAGCGAGUCGUCGAAACGGCCGUGUCCAAUGCGACGGUGCUUGAUCACACCAUUUCACCUUGCGAAGAAUCUUUCAUUCCCAACGUCACGAUGGUUUUUAAACAAUAAUUUUAUUGAAUUUAAGGGCGAGACGUUUGUGGUGUAUAUGAAAAUGGAGCACGCACGGGACACCGUCACCUGGUUGCAAAUCGCCAAGUGCUUCAAAAUUUGGGA